GUUAAGUUGAUUUUUCAACAGUAAAGUUCCUCCUUUCUUUCUGUGUGUCUGUGUGGUUUUAAAUCACAUUUGAACAUAUGUAAGAAUAUUAUGUUGGAAAUCUACGCUAAUCGAAGCAAAGAGUUUAAUGGGCUUCAUAAAGGUAAGGACAUGCCAUACCUCAGUUGAUUGCUUCUCAAUUAGGAUGCAGGAUGUUAUCCCAUUCUUCCUUUUGGGUAUGACUUGAGUCUGUACAGUGCAGUACAUAAAUGAUUUUCCAUGGCUUUUUAAAAGGCGGUGCAUAUUAAUAUUUUAAACUGAAGUAAUUGCUUCUUGCUCAGCAAUGGGUUUCAUUUAUGAGUGUUUAUCCUCGGCAAAUGGAAAGUAUGGUUAAUCUAAGUUAAAAAUGGGUUCUUUAAAUAGCUCUAAUUACAUUCUGUUUAUAUUUGUAUGUAUUAGACACUUAAGAUUUAAUCGGUAGCAGUUCUAACAAACCAUAAUGUUUAUUAGCUGGUUUUAAAUUAUUGUUAUGGAUGGCAGUUGAACGAGAAAAUAAAUGACUUGUCUACUAUAAAACUCAGUAAAUAAAAGAUGGACCAAGGUUUUAAAAAUGAUUUUUAGUACAACUUCAAAAUUUAAACAAAUUUAUCAGAAAGAGUUUCCAUAAGCAAAUUCUUCUGUUAUCAGUUUUUUGUUGUUGUUAAACAUUCAAAAGAAAAGUAGUCUCUAAUGGUAUCAAGUUAGUGGGAUUUCCAAAAAUUAUCAAAAUCUUGAUGUUAAGUGUCAACAGAAGAAAUUAAAUUUUAUACUUUAAUUCAUGUUUAUUUAACUAAAACAGCAAAGAGAGAUUUCUUCUUUAGGAAAAAGAAAAAUUUAUUAAGAAUAAACAUAAAAAUCAGAGAUAAUAGGUUGAAUUUUUUUUAUGUUAAAACCCACCUGUUUUACCUUGAUGUCAUGCUAGCUUAAGUCAAUUUAAUUUGCUUAUACUCUGCAUUUUGCUUAACCAGAAAAGGCUUGGUUGAGUAAUGCUUCCUUUCUCUGAAAUCUGUGAAAGGUCUCCCCUUAUCUUUGGGGAAAACUUCUGAAUUACACUUGAGUUUUACUCAGUGAAUUAAGAGACUCUCAGUCAUUUCAUUGACAUUUCAUUUCCUAUUUGUUUUUUUGGGAUUUUCAAGACAUGCAAAAGAAAGUAUAAAAGAUAAUUUAUUAAUAAAACAUCUUUAUCUCUAUGGAAUUAUAAGCAUUUAUAGUUGUUUUUAAAAUGCAAUAGCAUUCCCAGAAAUUUGUGAAAUUAUUAGUGUCCUUUUAUAAAUAAAGAAGCAGCAAUAGAAAUAUUAUGAUGUUCCUCCCGUGGUCUGUAAGUUAAAAAAAAAAAAUGAAACAACAUAACAACAUUCUAUACCACACUUUCUCACUAGCAAAUUUUUAAUUAGAAAGCAGAGUGAGUUGUUCCCACUGUGGCAAGUGGGUUAGGGACCUGACUACAGCGGCUCAAUGGGUUUGAUUCCUGGUCCUCCACAGUAGGUUAAGGAUCCAGCAUUGCUGCAGCUGUGGCAUAGUCACAGCUGUGGCUCGGAUUCCAUCCCUGCCCCAGGAAGUUCUAUAUGCCAUGUGUGUGGCCCAAAAAUAUAAAGAAAAAGAAAGAGAGAAAGCAAGCAAGAAGUGUGAUCUCGGGCGAGUUACAAAACCUUUUUGUACUUCAACUUCCCUGUUAGUCAAAGUGGGGAUUAUAACAGUGCCUAACUUAUCAAGUUAGCAUGAGAGUCAGAUAGAGAACUAUAAGAAAGCAGAUAGAGCAUGGUCUUAUAUACAUGGUAGGUAUCCCUCUAGUGCUGAACUCUGUCCAAAGAGGUGCAAUCCAGUCUCUGUCCCUGCCCAACUUCAGGUCUCCUCUCCUGUCUUUGUCUCCUAAAGCACCCACAAUUGGGCCACCCCUCAACCUCAAACCUGCUAAAGUUUUCCUCUCUAUUGAAUACAGCCCCACAUGCUCCCAUAGCAUCUCUGCAGCAUACCCCAGGCUCUGGUACCCUCACCUUCCCCUCCAUAAUCAUCUCCCAGGGGGCUGGAAAACUCUUGCCUCUCAGCCAGUCCUCCCUGCUCAGUUCAGAUUUUCCCUCCUCUGUACUGAUACCUUUACUUUUUCUUCCCCACCCUUCAAGACUGAGACAAACACCAUUUCCAGGACAGUCCCUCCCCAGAUCUGCCUAUCUCUAGGUUCUAAUGAUGGUAUUUGUUUCAUACCAUUCAUAUGCUCCUUACCUUAUUUGACUCUCAGCAUAAAUAUUCGUAAACCUGUCUCUCUCCCCUAUUCUAUCAUAUCCUUGUUCAUAUCUUCUGCAUGUAACUCAGGCCUGGCAUGUGGUAGGUACUCAAUAAAUAUGUAUAAAUGGGUAUUUUUGCAUGACUAAGUGAAUGUUGCUCAGUGUGGGGUGCUGUAUCUUGCAUGACUAAGCAUCAGGGUGUGAAGUUGCCAUUGACAAGUAAUAUAUGAAUUCAUUCAUUCAUUAGUCAGUCAGUUAGUCUGUAGAAAUUGUGAAUGCUUUAUCUCUUUUGCCCACCCUCACAUUCUCUCUCAAUGACUGUUUCUUUCUAUUAAUAAUUUCCUGAUUUCUUAUUAUGUGUCAUGUAUGAUGUUGGUGCCAGUGAUCUAGGGGUGAACAAGACAGUGAUUGUCACAACCAAUAAUAGCCUUAGAGAAUAAAAGGAGGCCUGGCUCAAGCAGUCAUGACAGUGAGGUGUGAUGGCAUUACAGCAGAGAUUGUCCAGGGAACCAUAGAAACAAAGAACAGGGGAUCUGACUUAGUCUGGGUGUCACAAAAGACCUCCUUGGGGAAGCAAUUUUUAAACCAAGACCCAAGAAAAGCACAGGGUGAACCCAGCAGAAGGAUAGGGAGUCAGUAUAAUUGCUGAGGUACCAUGCCAGGCUUCAGGACGAAGAUAAGUGAGAAAAAAAAAUUGUUCCUACGUCUGCAGAGCUCAUAAUAAAACCAUUUGCAGUCAGUCUAUGAAGAAAGCAAGCAGUUGUUAUAAAAAGGUAACAUAUGGAAGGGAAAUGACAUCAAAUUAUAUGGGGUGGCCGGAUUAUAACUUUCUGAAGAGGUGCCCUUUAAUCUGAGAUCUGUAGGGUCAGAAGGAUGCAGCCAUGGGAACCCAGGCAUAAGAGCAUUCUAAGCAGAGGCACUGGCCUGGACAGAGCUCUGAUGGUGGAAAGGACUUGGAUUAUCCAAAGAACUGAAAGGACACAUGGAAGAAAAGCUGAAGUGAUGAGGUCACCAAGAUGCACUUCCCACACCACGGAGGACCUCAUAAGCUGAGAGAAAGAGUUUGCUUUAUUUACUCCAGGUUCAUUGGGAAACCGUUAAUGGUCUUUAAGUAAAAGUGUGGCAUGACCAAAUUUCUUUUUUUUUUUAAGUUUUAUUGAAUUAUAGUUGAUUUACAAUGUUGUGAUAAUUUCUUCUGUAUGACAAAGUGAUUCAGUUACACAUAUAUGCGUAUCCAUUGUUUUUCACAUUCUCUUCCCAUAUAGUUUAUUACAGAAUAGUGGAUAGAAUUCCCUGUGCUAUACAGUAGGCCUCCAGUUUACUGGGGAUGACCCAAUGUAUUUCUUAAAGAGUCACCUUGCUUUCUGCAGGAAGAUUGUUUCUAAGAUGGGAAGCACAGAAGCAGGGCAUUUAGGAUGAUGGUAACUUAGACCAAAGUAGGAAAAACAGAAGGAAGAGUGGAAGUCUAUAAACAUAUUAGAAAAAUGGUGAACAGGAUGUGUGCAUUGAAUGUGGGAACUAUAGGAAGAGGAAUAAAGAGCAUAAGGGCAGAGGUGAUGAUUAUUGUGUCAAGUCCUUUUAGCUAACUCUAUCCUGCCAGGGCUUCUUCUUUGGCUCUGGAGUUAUUUCUCUUACAUCCUGGCCCUACUACAGGAACAGAGAAUGUUCUUGGAUUCUUUAUUUUAUAUUUAGCUCUUAAGACCUUAAGACAAUCUUGAAGGAAAAGGAUGUAAACUCCAAUCAAUCUAAAUGUGACCUUCAAUCUUGAACUUGGCUUCUCAGUUUUCCUGGUACCCUUUCUCCCAAAGUGAAAAUUUACAGGUGCCUCUUGAAGGCUCCUCCAUCCCCAGAGAAAAGACCCUGACCUCACUUAACAUGUGGUCCUCAGGUAAUCAUGAAGGGUGCCUUUGAAUUAUCUCCUCCAUAUUCCAUAGAGGUCUCUUUCUGGCCUUUCAAGUGCUGUGUAGCCACUAAGGACAGCAUCUGGGCAACGUAGAACACAGCCUCGCCUUGUUAACAUGCAGUUCUUACCAGAUGUUGGCUCUGGUUGUAUAAGAGAGAAAAUCCAAAUGAAUCUUGAUGUAGAACUAAGCUAACUUUCAUUGAUGUUUGCUGCCACAAUGAAGCAAACUUAUAUUCUAGACUUCCCAACAUUUUAUAGCUAGAAGGAGCCUUAGAUAUCCUGUUAUCUAAUGCCUUCAUUGUAUAGAUAGGAAAACAAAAAUGUAGAAAAUUGAAGUGAUUUGGGGCAUACUCUGCUAUUCCAGAAAAUCAUAACCUUUGGAACCAGAAAAAUCUGGAGUCUAAUUCUAUCCAUGUCUCUUUAGCUGGAAAAAUUAUUAAUCUUUGCAUCUUCCUUCGAUGUCCUCAUUUUUUAAAAAAGGGUUAAUAAUUCCUACUUUGCGCAAUAGUUGAAGGAGUUAGAAUCAGUGUACAUGAAACACAUAUAAGCACUUGAUAAAUGGUAACUAUGUUUAUAUAUUAACUUUUUCUUGUCCAUUGCAAAAGUGAUAGGACCCCUUGGGUUCAUGUAAACCCAGUACUCAAAUUUCCCUAACUAAUGAUCUUUCUCUACACAAUGUACAACCUGAUAAAAUUUUUCAUGUGUUCAUGGAGUCUCAUCAGGUCUAUUUGGAAAUAACAACAACAACAACAACAACAAAAAAAAAACCACAUCCCCCCUCGUGCCCUCUUCAAGCCCUUUGGAACUCUUCUGUGCCCUGGAGAAUCAGGUACACAAGUUGUAAUUUUAUCGAGCAGUGAUAUGCCACUAUGGUAGAAAAAAUAAAAAAGCUAAAGCAGUAUUUCAACUCUAAGAACCAGGUCUGGCACCCAUAAUAAAAGACUCUUUUAAUAGGAAGAAUAAUCUAUCAAUCUUGUGAAAGGGCUGUUGGAAAAGGCUCGAAGUCCUACUGCAAUACAAAACAUAAAUGGUACAUUGUCCUAGUUUUUUGCUGAAAAUUGUGUGUUAGCACUGAAGAACAGAAUUCGCUCUUCUUCAGCCUGCAUUUUUAGAAUAUGCUAUAAAGACAACUCUAUUUUCUAGGGGUUAAUAAAUGACAUCAGAAAGAGAGAUGGUGUGGAGCAAAUGAAAAUCAUCAUAAUAAUUAUAUUAACAAUCUUAUGUAUUUCCACACUUAAGGUGCAAGAAAAAAAAAUCUAUGUUUCUGCUCAUGGUGGGGAAAAAACCCUCUUCUUAUUUUUUUAGGCACUUUAUGGUGUUUUACUAACUAAGAUAGAGUUAGAACCCUAAUCCUGCUGGAGUGAAGUCAGGUGUUGCUGGAUGACGGUGCAAGGAGCUCAUUUCUGGUAUUUGCCACUUGAGUGUGCUCUCGAAUAGGCAUGAAGCUAUUCUGUUCACCAAAAAUGUGCAGGAUUCCUAGGGAAAGCUCUUGGAGAUUUUGAGGUGAUAUCCUCCAUGGAGGAAGAUGGAAAUAAGAUCCCUAGAGUAAUCCUUCAGUAUUUUAAUAUUGUCAGAGGUGCCUAUAAGCCAAGGAGAGAGUGAAAAUGGAAAGACUGGAAACUUAUACUCUAAAAGCAAAAUUGCUUUGUACUUGUUAGGUGUUCUGUUUGUUGCUCCAUUUUCUUUCCUUAGUAUUUAAGACCGCCAGCCAUUUCAGCUGAGCUAAGAGGAGGGAGAUAGUAUAUCUAUAGAUAUAUAGAUGUUAAAUAUCUAUUCUUGGGCCAGAUGUAUAAGGAAAGAAAGAGGUCUCACAGUACAUGGCUGGAUCUGGUAUAGGUGGAGAGCUCAGGUUACUUAGAGAACCCCAAGGCAAAGAGGCACCUGCUCCUUCCUCCGUGGUAUGUCUUUGAGGGUCUUGGUUUUAUUUUAUUAAUUUCUUAGUCUAAUGUUCUUCAACAACCAGUAUUUUAUCUCAAUACUUUAAUCUAUAUUCUAAAUUUUACCUCAUCUUGACCACAGUAAUAAACAAUUUUGAAAUAAAAUGGCAAGCAAUUGACCACAUGGAGAAGCACUGGUAAUUGAAGGGAUUGAAGCAGAAUAGCAUAUCUUUUGCAGAUUUUUUAAAAUAUUCUAGCUUAGAUUUAUUAGACAUUUUUGUUACACUAUUUUGAAAGAAAGCCAUCAAUGAAAAACAAUGAUUAUGAUAAUUUUGAAAAACAAUCAGUUAAAAUAUAACAUCCCUGAAAAUACAAGUUGUAUGAUUUUUAAAAUGUAGAGUUUGGUCUGUUCCUUGUAGGAAUAUAAAAUAAAUGGUCAGUCCCUCUUUUACCCAUAUCCUGAACAUUAGUUUUUUUAACUUAUACCAUUUAAAUUAAGUCUCCUAAUGAACUAUUUCAAACAUAUGGGAAAAUAUAGAUAUCCUCUCAACUGGGUCAUUCCAUGAGAACAUGGUUAGUUUUUCUAGAAUUAUUGACUCAAUCGAUUCUCUACUGAGUGUUUACUAAAUAUUGAGCCCACUUUCC
rnacentral:lncRNA from 1 species